rnacentral:RNase_P_RNA from 1 species
GGACCAGAUGAUCGGGCGGUCGCGUCGUCUUCGGACGCCGAGGAAAGUCCGGGCUCCACGGUGACAAGGCGGUGGGUAACGCCCACCGGGAGCGAUCCCAGGGAUAGCGCCACAGAAAGCAAACCUCCUCCCUACGGGGCGGGAAGGGUGAAAGGGUGGGGUAAGAGCCCACCGCGGACCUGGUGACAGGGACGGCAUGGCAAGCCCCGCCUGGAGCAAGACCGAAUAGGGAUCCCGCGUCGGCCUCGCGCCGACUAGGCCGUCACUGGCUGAGAGGAUCCGGGUAGGUCGCGAGAGCCGUCCAGCAAUGGCCGGCCUAGAGGAAUGAUCGUCGCCGUCUCCCUGUCUUCGGAUGGGCGGGGCGGAACAGAACCCGGCUUACAGAUCAUCUGGUCCGUCU